rnacentral:rRNA from 1 species
AGGACUAACGCUGGCGGCGUGCCUAACACAUGCAAGUCGAACGAGGGGUAGCAAUACCCCUAGUGGCAGACGGGUGAGUAACACGUAGUCAACCUACCUCUUAAUGGGGGAUAACUAGCCGAAAGGUUAGCUAAUACCGCAUACGAUCGUCGAGUGGCAUCACACGACGAUGAAAGGAGCAAUCCGUUGAGAGAGGGGACUGCGUCCCAUUAGUUAGUUGGUGGGGUAAUGGCCUACCAAGACUCCGAUGGGUAGCUGGCUUGAGAGAGCGACCAGCCACACUGGAACUGAGACACGGUCCAGACUCCUACGGGAGGCAGCAGUGAGGAAUUUUCCGCAAUGGGGGAAACCCUGACGGAGCGACGCCGCGUGUGGGAAGAAGGCCUUCGGGUCGUAAACCACUGUCGAGGGGGACGAUAUUGGACGGUACCCCUGGAGGAAGCCCCGGCUAACUACGUGCCAGCAGCCGC